rnacentral:lncRNA from 1 species
CACCAGUCCUGAGGUACAGCCACAUCCUGCCAGCCUCCCUGACCCCUAUAAUACCGCCCAGGCCAAGCUGGCAUGUAAAGACGGGGCUCCUCAUCAGAAGUCUCCAGCCGUCCACAUCAACAAGGAACCUGCCAGGAAGUUUGCCCCGGUGGUUACCAGUCCUGCGCCCCCUGCUGCUGAGGUGGUGAAGGCGUCAGCGUUGCCUCAGCUAGACAUCGUCCCCAGCAGUAACAUCAAGGAUAUCAUCAGACAGUAUGAC